rnacentral:rRNA from 1 species
CCUACGGGUGGCAGCAGUGAGGAAUAUUGGUCAAUGGCCGUAAGGCUGAACCAGCCAAGUCGCGUGAAGGAAGAAGGAACUAUGGUUUGUAAACUUCUUUUAUAGGGGAAUAAAUGUAUCCACGUGUGGAUCUUUGCAUGUACCCUAUGAAUAAGCAUCGGCUAACUCCGUGCCAGCAGCCGCGGUAAUACGGGGGAUGCGAGCGUUAUCCGGAUUUAUUGGGUUUAAAGGGUGCGUAGGCGGGAUGCCAAGUCAGCGGUAAAAAUGCGGUGCUCAACGCCGUCGAGCCGUUGAAACUGGCGGUCUUGAGUGGGCGAGAAGUAGGCGGAAUGCGUGGUGUAGCGGUGAAAUGCAUAGAUAUCACGCAGAACUCCGAUUGCGAAGGCAGCAUACCGGGGCCCGACUGACGCUGAGGCACGAAAGCGUGGGUAUCGAACAGGAUUAGAUACCCCAGUAGUC